CCGCCCCCCACCCGCCCCCCUAACGCCCUUUCCCCUCACGGCCUCGGCCAUGGCCGGCCCUCCCGGAGAAAGGCAGCGGCGCCGGGAAGAGGAGGAAGAGGAGAGGAGGAGUCGCACAGAUUCAAGAGCUCGAGCUCCAAGAGAUGUAAUAAGCGGUUAUGUUACGAGUCUUUGCAGCGCCAAAUCUGUGAGCACAGGCUGGUGCAAACAGGAGAGUACAGGGUACGAGUACGCCUCUUUAACUCAUCUCAGGUUAUGUUAAUUGUGGAUCUCACCAUCUCAUGAAGAAAGAGGGCAUGAGUUCAGGACCUGCAUUUUCCUGGGCUGCUCUGUGACCUUGGGUAAAGCAGCUCACUUUACACAGAUUUAUUUUGACUGCCGUUAAAAUGGAAAUAAAGAUACCUUUUCUCUUUUCAAGCAUUGAGUAAGAGCCUCAAAGCAUUGCUGUGGAUUAAUUAUUUGGAGUCUGUUCUCUUUCCUGCUUCUUUUUGAAAACAAGGUUAAGAUGCUUUGAGACCAUAGGAGAAAAAACUCAUGUGUAUGAGUUUGAUUUAUUUUACAUUUAAGAGGAAGCCUUACCUAGAUCUUGCCCUCUGAGAGUUGGAAUUUAUCAAAUGAAGAAGAUAACUGUCAGCUUGUCAGUGUAUUGAACCAUAUAGGGAGGGUAGGAGGAAGCUCAAGAAGGUUAUCAAGCACUAAGCAUAAAAAUUAAUGAUAAUAUAAUACCCAUGUGAAAAGGAAGAAAAGCAUUUACAUUUUACGUUACAUUUCUAUUUCCAGAUACAAAUAACUGCAUCCAAUAACCCUUACAAUUGUGCAUGCGAUACAUGGCUUUGUAAUUAAAAAUAAUUUGAGAUGAGGCAAAAUACGCAUCCCCAGUUUUUGAAAACGUUCCCAAAUUGUUAGAGUUUAACAAAUAGUUGCUAUGUGAUAAGAACACGACGAGUGUGUGGGAGGUCUUUUCAAGGGAAAAAAAAAAGCCUUUGUGUGAGGCAAACUUUCAACAUUAGGGGAACUCACUCUGUUCAUAACAACUCUUUUCUGUUUAUAAACAACAUUCUCCUGAAGGAAACAGGAGUGCUGGAGAAGUGCAAGAGAAGACAUCGAAGAUUUUCACAGUGUAGCACUUUUUAAGUCAGUCCUAGAUGUCUGAAUUUUAAUACCAAUUUUCCUGCUGUUGUGAUUUUUAUUAGUCUCACCAUGAACUCAUAUUCCAUUCUUUAUUUCUCCACUGGAUACAGCCUAUCCUAAACCUAAAUAUUAACAGCAUUACAUGGAUAUUUUAUGUUGUUCCAAAUAUUUCUGGCAGCUUUGCAGUCACUUGUGACACAAUAAAGAAUUUUUGAGUAGAGCAGAUCAGAGCAAGGCAACACGGGAACAGUUACCAGGUGUGACUUGUUCUGCAGUAAGGGUGCCCUUGGAACCAGCUGCUUUUUGGAGCAGGUAAGAGACUUCUGGUCACAGUACCUGUGUGUUCCGGCCAUUUAGAUGGAUUGUUCAAGGAAGAACUGUUCCUAACCAUAGUUUGUGCCAUGCUGGAGUCAAGCAGAGCUUUCCUCACUCAGCAGGAGCAGGGCCUGCCCUCUCUAGGUUGUGCAAAGACCAUCUGCCUGUCGCCUUCGGAGCGCAAAUACAAUCUGUUACUUUGUCAAAAUAAACAACACAUAUAUCUGAUCAUUUCUAGCCUACUGCCUGCCUGACUCCCCAGCUAUGGGGGAAACAGCUCGUUUAUGGCACUUCCAUUUUGGGCCAGAAGCUGUUGAAUCUCAAACAUUGCAAUGAAUAUUUCCUAGCUGCAGAGCCCAGGCUCAGGGCUUUGCUCUCGCUGGGCUGGCAGGCGUUCAGGGUGUCCUGGCAGGACGGGAAUGCCGAGUACUCCAGAAGCUCCAUUUUAUGUGUGUAUACAAUCCAGGAAACUCGAACAGGUCAGUGUGAGCACUGCCCUGACAUUAGGAUAACCAAAUGCAAUCAAAGUGGAUGUGUGUCUAUACCGUGGUGAUAGAGAACUGCUGUAACAACCGAGUUCUGCAACUAAUCGGUAUUUCUGUAAUGAAGGAUUUUUCCCAUUAUUUAGCCAUUUUAAAACCCUUCUUCCACCUUUCAUAUUGCUUAUGUCUUGUUAUGCCAGUAGAUUGGGUACAAUAGGCUAAAGAAGCCAGAAAAGCUACAUCCUAACUUUCUGGAGAAUUCUCUUUUAAUAGUACUUUCUUAAAUUAGACCAUGCCAUGUACUUCAGAAUUUAAAGACUGUGUGUGUCAGAUUCUGAGAUGUUAAGGUAGGCUGAUUACCCCCAGUCAUAGGUUAGCUAUAGUGUGUAAGCAAGGGGAAAGGUCUUUCCUCCCCAAACCAACUAAUUCUAAAAGUUAAAUGUAGCUUAUUAGUGUAACACAGUAUCAGAGAUGUCUUUUCCUCCUUUAAAAAGAGGCUGUAUUCAUUGUUACUUACCCUUAAAUGCAGCUAUGCUGACUGCAGAGGUCAUUGUCUUAAUUAUUCCUUGGUCAUAUAAAUAAAAAUAUUAAUUGACUGUUUAAUCACAAUCAACAUGACUUUUUUUUUCCUAAUGGAGAUUUACAAAUAUGCCUUUUAGAAUGAAGAAAAAAAAAAGAAUAAUUAUAACAAACCCCAGAAAAUAACAUUGUUUUCAGCUGAGGAAUACUUUGUAGGA